CCUACGGGUGGCAGCAGUGAGGAAUAUUGGUCAAUGGUCGCAAGACUGAACCAGCCAAGUAGCGUGAAGGAUGACUGCCCUACGGGUUGUAAACUUCUUUUAUGAGGGAAUAAAAUGAGGCACGUGUGCCUUUUUGUAUGUACUUUAUGAAUAAGGAUCGGCUAACUCCGUGCCAGCAGCCGCGGUAAUACGGAGGAUCCGAGCGUUAUCCGGAUUUAUUGGGUUUAAAGGGAGCGUAGAUGGGUUGUUAAGUCAGUUGUGAAAGUUCGCGGCUCAACCGUAAAAUUGCAGUUGAUACUGGCAGUCUUGAGUGCAGUGGAGGUAGGCGGAAUUCGUGGUGUAGCGGUGAAAUGCUUAGAUAUCACGAAGAACUCCGAUUGCGAAGGCAGCUUACGAAACCGCCACUGACAUUGAUGCUCGAAAGUGUGGGUAUCAAACAGGAUUAGAUACCCUGGUAGUC
rnacentral:rRNA from 1 species